rnacentral:rRNA from 1 species
AGCAGCCGCGGUAAUUCCAGCUCCAAUAGCGUAUAUUAGUGUUGUUGCGGUUAAAAAGCUCGUAGUUGAAUUUCGGGAUUGGGAUAUAUCGGUCAUGUCUUUAGGGGCAUGAAUCGGUGUGUGGCUAAUUCUCACCUUCUGGUGAAUUGGGAUGCUCUUGGGUAUUUCAAUGAACUAGGACUUUUACUUUGAAAAAAUUAGUGUGUUUAAAGUGGGCAUUUUUGUUUGAAUACAUUAGCAUGGAAUAAUAAAAUAGGACGAUGGUUCUAUUUUGUUGGUUUUAGGACCACGUAAUGAUUAAUAGGGAUAGUUGGGGGCAUUAGUAUUCAAUUGUCAGAGGUGAAAUUCUUGGAUUUAUUGAGGACUAACUACUGCGAAAGCAUUUGCCAAGGAUGUUUUCAUUAAUCAAGAACGAAAGUUAGGGGAUCAAAGACGAUUUAUGUACGUCGUAGUCUUAACCAUAAACUAUGCCGACUAGGAAUCAGACAAAGUUAAUUUUUUAACGACUUGUUUGGUACCUUACG